AGGCCCUGCUCUAGGAAUCAGGAGGGUUCUUUGAAUUCAGGUUGUCCCAUGUAUCAGCUGGGUGACUCUGGGCAAGUUGUUUAACUUCUCUGAGCCUCAGAGCCUCUUCCUCAUCUGUAGGCUGAGAGUAUUAAUAUCUACCGUCCAGGCCACAGGGAGGGUGAAGUCAGAAACUGCAGGUAGAAGCGUCUGGCAGAUAAGGAUGAUGUCACAUUAGCCACACAACCCAAACACACUGGACCCCCUUCCGGGCAGGUGUUGUGCUGGGCUCUCGCUGCUCCCUCUGUGGAAGGCAGCGCCAUCUGAGUGGCCACUGCAGCUUGCUCGGAGUUCUCUCUCCUCCUCUGCUGCGGCUCAUCAGCUGACACAGGAGAUGCUUGUGUAUCUGCUCCUUUCCAUUCUGCAGGGCGGGCAGGGACUUUGUCCCUCUGUACCCUACUCUAUCUCCAGCACCUGGAGCUGGCCGGUGAGCUGUCCCCUUGGGAACCAAGUAGGGAGGCAUCUUUCGUCCAUCUUGUGGACAAAGAAGCAGAGGCUCAAAGAGGAAGGGGCCUUCCCCAGAGCCAGACUGCCUGGACCCAAGGCCUGGCUCCCCAGUCACCCUGUGCAUGACCUAAGGCAAGUCCCUUCAGCUCUCGGCCCUUGGUUUCCUUAUCUGUGUUAGAAGGAGCUGCCUGGUGGGGUUGUCCUAAGCAUUAAAUGAGCCUCAUCCUGUGACGCGCUCUGCGUGGUGCAGAUGGCCAGCUCUGCACAACCACAGUGACACCAAGGAGCAGAAGAUCCAGAGAGAAGAGGCUCAGUCACCGACAUCUGUGGACUCCCCCGAGCCCCACUCUGCGUGAGCCUCACCAGGAAUUCAGGUGCUGCUGGGAGGAUACUUUGUAGCUGUGGUUAACAUCACCGUCUGUUGAAAAGCCAAGGAGAUUGUGCUUGAUGUUGGUGGGCCUCAUCUGAGCAGUCGAAGGCCUGAAGAACAAUACUGAAGCUUCCCUGAGAAGAGGAGCUUCUGCCUGAGAGGCUCCAGCUUGCAGGCCGCCCUGCAGACCGGCAGCCCUGUGAGCCAGUUCUUCAACAUCAGCAGUGCUUCCCUGUAGGAGCCUGCGGGGCACCAGGAGAAAGCUGACAUGCAGGCCUCUCCCCCUGAUUUCCCUCUCCGCUGGAGUCUAUGAUGAGCUAGACACUGUGCUAGCCCCAGGAAUGUAGUGGACUCCUCACUGAGUGUGGGAACAGUGACAUUAAAAGCUCGGAGUUCAAUGAUGUCACACUGGCCACUUGACGUCAGCUGUGGUAGGAGCAUUUGCAGAAUCAGCAAUUGGCAGAAUCAGCAAUCCGGGCUUCCCAGCUGUUACGGUCUGGAGUGUUGACUACAACAGCAGCUGAGGCACACACCAUGGCCUACCAGGGAGCCCAGGGGUGCUCUACCACCGAGCUACACCCCCAGACUUUUUUG